GACGAACGCUGGCGGCGUGCCUAAUACAUGCAAGUCGAACGGAAAGGCCCUGCUCUUGUGGCUCUCUCGUGAGCCGAGCACGUGAGUGACACGCGUGUAUCAUCUCCCUGUCUUUGGGGUAUAACCUGGGGAAACGGGCUCUAAUCCGGUAUAAGCUCUUGCAGCACGGUGGUGAUUGGUAAGAUUCGGCGGUUGGGGAUGGAUUCGCGGCUUAUCCGCUUGUUGGGGUGGUAGUGACUUACCAAGGCUUUGACGGAUAGCCGGCCUGAGAGGGUGACCGGCCACAAUGGGACUGAGAUAGGGCCCAGACGCGAACGGGAGGCAGCAGUGGGAAGUAUGGCGCAAUGGGCGGAAGCCUGAUGCAGCAACGCCGCGUGCGGGAUGACGGCUUUCGGGUUAUAAACCGCUUUCGCCUGAGACGAAGCGUGAGUGACGGUAACGGGUAAAGAAGCAACGGCUAACUACGUG
rnacentral:rRNA from 1 species